rnacentral:RNase_P_RNA from 1 species
AAUAGUUUGAAAGUGCCACAGUGACGUAGCUUUUAUAGAAAUAUAAAAGGUGGAACGCGGUAAACCCCUCGAGUGAGCAAUCCAAAUUUGGUAGGAGCACUUGUUUAGCGGAAUUCAACGUAUAAACGAGACAUCUUUACUCGCAUAGUAAAGAUUUGUAGACAGAUGAUUACCACCAAAGUACCAGUACAACUAGUGUACGUUAUGAGUACAAUGGUACAGAACAUGGCUUAUAGAG